rnacentral:tRNA from 2 species
GGAAAGGUGGAUGAGUGGUUUAAGUCGCACGCCUGGAAAGCGUGUUUAGGGUAACACCCUAACGGGGGUUCGAAUCCCCCCCUUUCCGCCA